CCGCGUGAGCCUGAGAAUACACGCUCAGCCUCCAAUAGGGGGCGGGUACGGGAAAAACGGGGCGUGACCCGGCCGCCCUGCGCGCGCCACUGGCGAGGAGCAGGCGGGAGCCGGGACUUGAAGCGGGUAGUCGGAAGGGCGUCGCGUCAACAGCCGCGGCAGCCGGGCGGGGGUGAAGCUGAGUGCGCGUGCGCCGCGCGCGAGCCGGGGAGCGGGCGUGGAGUGGCGGGAGCGCGCGUGCGCGCGCCCAGGCAGCCUGGGCACCGGGUCCUGCCUUUGACGGGAGGAGGCGGCGGGUCCUCUCUGUGACGGCGGCGGUGCCUGCUCCAGACACCUGAGGCGGCGGCGGCGGCAACCCCGCGGCGGACGCGGAGAUGUGGCCCUUGGUGGUGGUGGUGCUGCUGGGCUCGGCGUACUGCGGUUCAGCUCAGUUGAUAUUUAAUAUAACCAAAUCUGUAGAAUUCACCGUUUGCAAUACAACUGUUACCAUCCCAUGUUUUGUUAAUAACAUGGAGGCAAAGAACAUUUCUGAAUUGUACGUCAAGUGGAAAUUUAAAGGAAAAGACAUUUUCAUCUUUGAUGGCGCUCAGCACAAGUCCAAGCCCAGUGAAGCCUUCCCUAGUUCAAAAAUCUCACCAUCAGAAUUACUACAUGGCAUUGCCUCUUUGAAGAUGGAUAAGCGUGAUGCUGUCAUAGGAAACUACACUUGUGAAGUAACAGAAUUAAGCAGAGAAGGCGAAACCAUCAUAGAACUAAAACGUCGUUUUGUUUCAUGGUUUUCUCCAAAUGAAAAUAUCCUCAUUGUUAUUUUCCCAAUUUUGGCUAUACUUCUGUUCUGGGGACAGUUUGGUAUUUUGACUCUUAAAUAUAAAUCCAGUUAUACGAAGGAGAAAACCAUUUUCCUAUUAGUUGCUGGACUAAUGCUCACUAUCAUUGUCAUUGUUGGAGCCAUUCUUUUCAUCCCAGGUGAAUAUUCAACAAAGAAUGCUUGUGGACUUGGUUUAAUUGUAAUCCCUACAGCAAUAUUAAUAUUACUUCAAUACUGUGUGUUUAUGAUGGCUCUUGGAAUGUCUUCCUUCACCAUUGCCAUAUUGAUCCUUCAGGUAUUGGGCCAUGUGCUCUCUGUGGUUGGACUUAGCCUCUGCGUCUCAGAGUGUACCCCAGUGCAUGGCCCUCUUCUGAUUUCAGGUUUGGGUAUUAUAGCUCUAGCAGAAUUACUUGGACUAGUUUAUAUGAAAUGUGUUGAGUUCAGAGAAGCACCUUCGGUCAGUUGAAGGGCAAGAAGAGAAAAGCUUCUGAUCACAAGACUAUACAACCUCCUAGGAAAGCUGUAGAGGAACCCCUUAAUGCAUUUAAAGAAUCAAAAGGAAUGAUGAAUGAUGAAUAACUGAAGUGAAGUGAUGGACUCUGAUUUGGAGAGUACUAAGACGUGAAAGAUACACACUUAUGUUUAAGCACCACGGCCUUGAUUCACUGUUUGGGAGAAGAAAAUAAGAAGAGUAACUGGUUUCCAUCUAUGGGAGAAAGUAAAUCAUUGACCUUUAAAUUGUUACAGUUUAAGUUUUUAUUCAAAGCAUUUUUAAUUUAGUUAAUAAAAUUACAAUCUGUGUUGUGUGCCCAAUUGA